UGAGGAAUAUUGGUCAAUGGGCGGGAGCCUGAACCAGCCAAGUCGCGUGAGGGAAGACGGUCCUACGGAUUGUAAACCUCUUUUGCCGGGGAGCAAUGACGGCCACGCGUGGCCGGGCGAGAGUACCCGGAGAAAAAGCAUCGGCUAACUCCGUGCCAGCAGCCGCGGUAAUACGGAGGAUGCGAGCGUUAUCCGGAUUUAUUGGGUUUAAAGGGUGCGCAGGCGGAAGCGGCAAGUCAGCGGUAAAAUCGCGGGGCUCAACCCCGUUCAGCCGUUGAAACUGCCCUUCUUGAGUGGGCGAGAAGUAUGCGGAAUGCGUGGUGUAGCGGUGAAAUGCAUAGAUAUCACGCAGAACCCCGAUUGCGAAGGCAGCAUACCGGCGCCCUACUGACGCUCAUGCACGAAAGCGUGGGUAUCGAACAGG
rnacentral:rRNA from 1 species